UAAAUGUGGUCUGCUCUGCCUCAGGCUGGCUGUGACCUUGAGCUGGUGAUGUCCCUGCCUCAGUUUCCUCACCUUCUGAUGGAGAUGGGAGGGGAAGAAAGCAGCUGCCUCUGGGUGGUGGCAGAGAUGCCCAUGUCUAGGACCUCCAGGCCUUAACUAAUCAGGGGCACUGAUGAAGCCAGCGGGGCUCCACUGGGGACCACAGGCAAGACUGGGCCAGGACGAGGCGGUCACGCAGAGAAAGAAGAUAAAAGGGAACAGAAGAGAAAAUUCAAAAGAUUUAUUAUAGCCAUGAAAUGCUCUGCUCUCUUCUCUUUUCCUUGCUGUCCCUGGGGCUGGAGGAGCACGGGCCUCCCCGGGAGUGGGCUUCAGCCUCCCUAGACUCCUGUCUCCUUCCAAGGGCUAGGCCUGGGGGACCAGAAGCAAGAGUCCCUAGAGCGUCCAAGAUUUUUGGUUUCAAACCAAUUUCCUGCUGACCAGAAUGAAAUGGAGCCACAUUCCAGCACGAUGCACCUGCUGACCUCCUGCAAGUCAGGGACCUUCUCUGCCCCUCUUUUGCUCUGCUGCAGGAGGGAGAAGCUGGGAAUGUGUUCCUCUGGGGUCCCAUCACCUCCAGCCAGCCACUGUCCCUGUCUCCCCAAAACCUCCUCGUUGUCCCUCCUCUGUCCUCCUCCUCCUCCAUCUGCCUUCGCCCUGCUCUCCUCUUUUUCGCCUGAGGUUCGUGCUGCCUCCUCACCUCUUGUCCUGUUUCUCCCUUCUCUCUGCUCCCUCCUUUGAUCUUGCUAUUUUGCUUCUCUUUCCCUUCCUCUCUUCUCCUCCCUCCCCUUCCUCCCUGCUCCCUGCCUCAGCUUCUCAGUCUCUCUCCGUUCUUCCUCUAGCUUCCUUCCCUCCCCAGAAGACCCAGCCCUUCCUAGAGCCCCAGAAGCCAGGGUUCAUGCCCCAGCUCUCUACCCACACAUGCUGUGCAACCCUGGGCCAGUCACUGGUCUCUUGGGCCUCAGUUCAACAGAUGGCUGUCUUGGUGAUGUGAGAUCAUAGGGUGGAAGCACCCAGAAUGGUGCCAGGCACUCAAAAAUUUUUUUCUUUUCCUUUUUAAGGAACUACUAACCGUGA
rnacentral:lncRNA from 1 species